UUGUUCCGGGCGCGCGGAGGGAAGG
rnacentral:misc_RNA from 1 species